rnacentral:tmRNA from 1 species
GGGGGCGACAGGUUUCGACGGGGGUGAUUGCGGCGAAGGUGGCAUGCCGAGGUCCCAUUGGCUCGUAAAACAAAUGGGAAAACACAACUGCCAACGAAGAACUGGCACUGGCUGCUUAAGGCAGCCACGUCCUUCCCAUUCUCGCCUGCGGGAUGGGAAAGGGCGUCAUGUAGCGGGCUAGCAAACCGCUCCCAGCCUGGGGGAGUGGGGAGCGAAAUCCAAGCUGGGCUAGCGUGGCUCCAUGCCCCUGCCGAUGGGGGAAGAGCCAGGCGAAUCCUGAAACAUCGGCUAAGCAUGUAGAGGCCUUCUGCCAAAGACCUUCGGACGCGGGUUCGAUUCCCGCCGCCUCCACUU